rnacentral:rRNA from 1 species
UACGGAGGGGGCUAGCGUUGUUCGGAAUUACUGGGCGUAAAGCGUACGUAGGCGGCUUGCCAAGUCAGAGGUGAAAUCCCACGACUCAAUCGUGGAACUGCCUUUGAGACUGGUUCGCUUGAAGAUGGGAGAGGUCAGUGGAAUUCCGAGUGUAGAGGUGAAAUUCGUAGAUAUUCGGAAGAACACCAGUGGCGAAGGCGGCUGACUGGACCAUUCUUGACGCUGAGGUACGAAAGCGUGGGGAGCAAACAGG